AACGUAGGGUCCGAGCGUUAUCCGGAUUUACUGGGCGUAAAGCGCGUUCAGGCGGUUUGGCAAGUCGGGCAUGAAAUCUCUCGGCUCAACCGGGAGAGGUUGUCCGAUACUGCUGGACUUGAGGGCAGUAGAGGGUGGUGGAAUUCCGGGUGUAGUGGUGAAAUGCGUAGAUAUCCGGAGGAACACCAGUGGCGAAAGCGGCUACCUGGACUGCACCUGACGCUGACACGCGAAAGCUAGGGGAGCGAACGGG
rnacentral:rRNA from 1 species